UGCAUAGCUUUAACAGGCAAGGGGUUGGGGGGUGGUGAAAAAUUAUUUGUCAAAUCAUAUUCAUUGUGUUGAUUUGAGCAGACUUCAAUUAAUGGCAGAGGUACAGGCAAAGCACCCUGUGAUUCUUCUUUUUAUUUCUUUCGUGCCCUUUCUUCAAAGAUGCCAAUACACUUGAGCUUCACUGUUAUCUGUAUUCUAGUUAGUGUAGACAUUUUAUUUUCCCUACUUACCUGGAAGGUAUCGUGAUUGUUUUAAAUAGUACUGUUUAGCCGUUGAAGCAGUUGACAAUUCAGAAUCAGAUUUUAGGGGAACAGCAGCAGGUAAGCUCUUGUCUUCAUCUGCUGAGUGAUUGGAGCCUGAGGGUACUGAGUCUGGAAUCCUUCAAAGUGAACAUAGGUAGAGUUACAGCUGCAAGAAGACAAGAUGACAGCUACUCUCUUCCUGCCCACCUCUGUAGAUCAUCUCAGACCAAUCAAUGGGAUCUCACUUAAAUGGUUUCCAUCAGGCCCCUUCUGCUUACAGAAAUAUGAACAACUUCCCCCCAGUUGAUAUGAGGCAGCACAUAAAAUCAUUUCUCAUAUUCGGCAGUAUGUGACAGAAAACUUUACAACUGAGAGGCAAAUUGCCCAUGUAUCAGGUUUGUGUUUUUCCUGCAGUUGCAGCAGUUGUGGAUUUAUAGUAUGGGAAGAUGGCACAUUGAAGGAAAGACCAUCAUAGCCAUCUCACCUGACUGCCUAAAUAAUUUAUAAUCUGUAAGGUUGUUUGGGGCACAGUUUGGAUUGCGCUAAGGGAACUGAAGUGUGAGAAUAAGUGCUCAAACAUUUCCAUUUAGCCUAGUGACAUACAUAGGAAAUACAUAUUUGUUGAGAUGUGCCUAUUCCCAAAUAGAACAGAUGUGUCCCAGAGUUAACCCAUCCCGGCUAGCUGUUUAGUGGUGUCAGGAUUAAGAUGGACUCUCUGCCUCUCACCCCCUGCCUCCCAGAGGUCUGUUCAGCUCUACGAACUGAGAACUUCCAGCUUCCAGGCUGAGCUCUGUUUAGCUCCUGAGGCCAUUUUAACCAGCAGUACACAAGGCUGCCCAUCACUCCCAGUGGAUGAGGCUGUAAUCUGCUUUGCUUCUCGUUAGUCAGUAUGCUGCAGCGAGCCCUUUAGACUUUUCUCCCUACUACCCUGUGACCAGGCCUCUUUCUUUGCUGGGAAUGCACUGCCCAGCUCUUGUCACCUGACUGCAACAUCCACAGUUACCACCUAGAAGAUUCAUACUACCAAGUCCUACUUGCCAAAUUUAGCCUAUUGGAAAUGGACACUAACUUGGUUGGCCUUUUGAGCUCCUGCCCACCGGCUCUGGAGACAGCCCUGGAGACAGGCUCCAAAAUCAUAUUCAUCAAACUCUUCCCAACUAUCUCCAGAUUUGAACACAGUCUGACCCCAACGCCUCCUAGCACUUUUAUGUCCCAACGUGCCAUUUGGCUUCUGUGGUGGAAAAUGAGUCAUCAUAAUCUUGUCUAGGUAAAUAAUGUAGAACUCUAUUGAGAUGUUGAAAUUCCUAAGAACUGGGCUUUCGGUAUCACCAUGUAUUAGACAGGGACAGCAGUUGAAAAAAUUGAUUGUUGAACUGAGAUAUGCUUAC